AUGGGUGGCACCACACAAAAAUUCUCCUCCAUGAACAUAUAUAAAGCAAUUUGUGGACCCAGCCAAGCACAUAAUAUCUUUCAGAUGGUCUGGAAAACAACAUGCAGACUAAGGCACAAAAUCUUCUUCUGGUUGCUGCUCCAUGACAGAUCAAGCACCAGAAAUAUGAUCAAGCACAGGAACAUGCUCUUAGAAGACUACAACUGUACCCUUUGUACUGAGGCUACAGAAGAAACAAUCAUUCAUCUCUUCUGGGACUGUCAAUUUGCAUGGACUUGCUGGAAUCUGAUUGUUCCUAAUAAAAACAGAGGUACUUCGAUCUAUGAUGAGGUUCUAUUCACUCUAAGCGAAAUGCCAAAGGAUAUUGCUAUGGAAGUGGUGAUUAUGGGAUGCUGGAGCGUCUGGAUGAUAAGGAAUGACAAAAUUUUCAGAAAAGCCCCGCCGCACUAUGGAACAUGGAAGUUUUAUCUCAAAGAAGGUCUUGAAGUUUCUAGACUUCGAGCUAAUCAGAAGAAAGCUGAUUUGAUUAGCAGUUGGAUUGUACAGAAUCUUUAA
rnacentral:rRNA from 1 species